GCGGCAGAAGCACAUGCAAGGUCACAAGCCUUAGUGUUAGGAAGAUCUAUGGGGUUAAAGAUUUACAAAUAAUGGGAGAUUCGAAAACGAUUAUCAAAAAGUGCCAAAGUUCAGAACAAGACAGAUCGGUCAUUGGAGCAAUCAUCAAAGGUAUUCAAGAGAUUAAAACCAAUUUUAAUAGUAUCUGUUUUUGUUAUAUUCCGAGAACUGAUAAUAUUUUUGCCCAUUUGGUUGCAAUAGAAGCUUUAAAGAAGGGAGAAGAACAUUACCUAACUGGGGCGAUUCCAAAUACCAUCCGACAAGCAGCGGAGAGGAUGAAUCCUAGAUAUUAAGAUUAAGAGCAAAGAGGUGACUGUUGGAAGGAGUAGCAAACGGCAAAAAGAUUUGG
rnacentral:lncRNA from 1 species